GGGGACGUAGCCUAGCUCGGUUAUGGCGUCCGGCUCCAGACCGGGAGAUCGUGGGUUCAAAUCCUGCCGUCCCCA
rnacentral:tRNA from 1 species